rnacentral:rRNA from 1 species
GAUGAACGCUGGCGGCGUGCCUAACACAUGCAAGUCGAGCGAUCUCUUCGGAGAGAGCGGCGGACGGGUGAGUAACGCGUGGGUAACCUGCCCUGUACACACGGAUAACAUACCGAAAGGUAUACUAAUACGGGAUAACAUAUGAAAGUCGCAUGGCUUUUAUAUCAAAGCUCCGGCGGUACAGGAUGGACCCGCGUCUGAUUAGCUAGUUGGUAAGGUAAUGGCUUACCAAGGCAACGAUCAGUAGCCGACCUGAGAGGGUGAUCGGCCACACUGGAACUGGGACACGGUCCAGACUCCGACGGGAGGCAGCAGUGGGGAAUAUUGCACAAUGGGCGAAAGCCUGAUGCAGCACCGCCGCGUGAGCGAUGAAGGCCUUCGGGUCGUAAAGCUCUGUCCUAAAGGAAGAUAAUGACGGUACUUGAGGAGGAAGCCCCGGCUAACUACGUGCCAGCCGCCGCUGUAA